CUGUGGCAGAGACGGAGAAGAUGAACAGGGAUUUUAUACCAGGCGUCAGAAGGGAACCAGUGCUAAAGAAAAUGAAAACACCAGGCCGGGAGAGGCAGCUGGCAUGCGGGCCGUGGUGGUUUUACGUGGCCGAUUUGAGAGAGUGAGACCCCUGGGGUCUUGGAGCCAGGCCUGGGAAAAGCUACUUCACGUCAGGCCAGGGGCUGUAGCCCUGGCAACCUCCACUCCGCCUGGAAAUCCUCCACCUCGGGGCCUCUCUUUGCCCAGACCUGGCCCAGGAGGAGCACAUGGGAGCCGGGACCUUCCCAACAAUCCUUGCCGUUGGCUCCACAAACCUCAGCCAGUCCUGCAACCUGGGAUGCCUUUUCCACCAGGAUGCCUGCUACUGUCACUGUUGUCAUUAGAUAAUUAAUGAACUAUAAUUAGAAAUCAUAUCAAUAAAAUUUCACAGUCUAAGGCUGU
rnacentral:lncRNA from 1 species